GGCCUACCAUGGUGGUAACGGGUAACGGGGUGUUAGGGCACGACACCGGAGAGGGAGCCUGAGAAACGGCUACCACAUCCAAGGAUGGCAGCAGGCGCGCAAAUUACCCAAUCCCGACACGGGGAGGUAGUGACAAUAAAUAACAAUACGGGGUUCUUUCGGAUCUCGUAAUUGGAAUGAGUACAAUUUAAAUCUCUUAACGAGGAACAAUUGGAGGGCAAGUCUGGUGCCAGCAGCCGCGGUAAUUCCAGCUCCAAUAGCGUAUAUUAAAGUUGUUGCAGUUAAAAAGCUCGUAGUUGAACUUCGGGAUCAAUUGAUCGGUCAUGCCAUUGGUAUGUACUGGUCAUAUUGGUUCUCACCUUCUAAGGAACCUUAAUGUCAUUCAUUUGAGGGUGUGGGGAAUUAGGACUGUUACCUUGAAAAAAUUAGAGUGUUUAAAGCAGGCUAACGCUUGAAUACAUUAGCAUGGAAUAAUGAAAUAGGACAUCGCAUUCUAUUUUGUUGGUUUCUAGGAUCGAUGUAAUGAUUAAUAGGGAUAGUUGGGGGCAUUAGUAUUCAAUUGUCAGAGGUGAAAUUCUUGGAUUUAUUGAAGACUAACUACUGCGAAAGCAUUUGCCAAGGAUGUUUUCAUUAAUCAGAACGAAAGUUAGGGGAUCGAAGACGAUCAGAUACCGUCGUAGUCUUAACCAUAACUAUGCCGACUAGGAUCGGAUGAUGUUGAUUUUUAUGACUCAUUCGGCACCUUACG
rnacentral:rRNA from 1 species